rnacentral:sRNA from 1 species
AAAGCGUAUCGACGAUAUAUACAAGAUAACUGAAGAGGGAAGAAAACUAAUAGAGAG